rnacentral:rRNA from 1 species
CCUACGGGAGGCUGCAGUCGAGAAUCAUUCACAAUGGGGGAAACCCUGAUGGUGCGACGCCGCGUGGGGGAAUGAAGGUCUUCGGAUUGUAAACCCCUGUCAUGGGGGAGCAAAUGAAAAAGAUAGUACCACAAGAGGAAGAGACGGCUAACUCUGGGCCAACAGCCGCGGUAAUACAGAGGUCUCAAGCGUUGUUCGGAAUCACUGGGCGUAAAGCGUGCGUAGGCUGUUUCGUAAGUCGGGUGUGAAAGGCGCGGGCGCAAACCGCGGACGGCAGAUGAUACUGCGAGACUAGAGUAGUGGAGGGGGAAGCGGAAUGCGCGGUGUAGCAGUGAAAUGCGUAGAUAUCGAGAGGAACACUCGUGGCGAAGGCGGGUUGCUGG